rnacentral:rRNA from 1 species
AGAGUUUGAUCCUGGCUCAGGAUGAACGCUAGCGGCAGGCUUAAUACAUGCAAGUCGUGGGGCAGCGCAGGUAGCAAUACUGGGCGGCGACUGGCAAACGGGUGCGGAACACGUACGCAACCUUCCUUUAACUGGAAGAUAGCCCACCGAAAGGUGGAUUAAUACUCCAUAACAUAUUGAAGAGGCAUCUCUUUGAUAUUAAAGCUCCGGCGGUUAAAGAUGGGCGUGCGUCUGAUUAGGUAGUUGGCGGGGUAACGGCCCACCAAGCCUUCGAUCAGUAGCUGAUGUGAGAGCAUGAUCAGCCACACGGGCACUGAGACACGGGCCCGACUCCUACGGGAGGCAGCAGUAAGGAAUAUUGGUCAAUGGACGCAAGUCUGAACCAGCCAUGCCGCGUGGAGGAUGAAGGCCCUCUGGGUUGUAAACUUCUUUUCUUUGGGACGAAACCCCUGUUUCUACGGGGACUGACGGUACCAGAGGAAUAAGCACCGGCUAACUCCGUG